rnacentral:rRNA from 1 species
UGGGGAAUAUUGCACAAUGGGCGCAAGCCUGAUGCAGCCAUGCCGCGUGUAUGAAGAAGGCCUUCGGGUUGUAAAGUACUUUCAGUCGGGAGGAAGGUGUCAAGGUUAAUAACCUUGGCAAUUGACGUUACCGACAGAAGAAGCACCGGCUAACUCCGUGCCAGCAGCCGCGGUAAUACGGAGGGUGCAAGCGUUAAUCGGAAUUACUGGGCGUAAAGCGCACGCAGGCGGUUGAUUGAGUCAGAUGUGAAAUCCCCGGGCUUAUCCCGGGAAUUGCAUCUGAUACUGGUCAGCUAGAGUCUUGUAGAGGGGGGUAGAAUUCCAUGUGUAGCGGUGAAAUGCGUAGAGAUGUGGAGGAAUACCGGUGGCGAAGGCGGCCCCCUGGACAAAGACUGACGCUCAGGUGCGAAAGCGUGGGGAGCAAACAGG